rnacentral:rRNA from 1 species
AGUGAACGCUGGCGGUAGGCCUAACACAUGCAAGUCGAACGGCAGCACAGUAAGAGCUUGCUCUUACGGGUGGCGAGUGGCGGACGGGUGAGGAAUACAUCGGAAUCUACUUUUUCGUGGGGGAUAACGUAGGGAAACUUACGCUAAUACCGCAUACGACCUACGGGUGAAAGCAGGGGAUCUUCGGACCUUGCGCGAUUGAAUGAGCCGAUGUCGGAUUAGCUAGUUGGCGGGGUAAAGGCCCACCAAGGCGACGAUCCGUAGCUGGUCUGAGAGGAUGAUUCGCCACCACGGAACCUGGGCACCGUCCCAGCUCCUGCGGGAAGCCAGAGGGGGGAAUUAUGGGAAAAUGGGGGCAAGCCUGUACCAGCCAACCGGGUGGGGUGAAGAAGCCCUGCGGUUGGUAAACCCUUUUGUUGGGAAAGAAAAGCAGCAGGUUAAUACCCCGCUGUUCUGACGGUACCCAAAGAAUAAGCACCGGCUAACUUCGUG